rnacentral:lncRNA from 12 species
UGACCUGACUUUCCAUGCUCAAGGUUGCAUGUGAGUCUUUCAAGUGGAAAUGGAGAAGAAGCACAAAUAAAGACAUCUGUAAUGCACACCGGUGUAUGAAAAGGAUGUUUUGAUCUCAAACAAAAACGUAAGAUUCUUCACUGACAUUUAUUUACAUGAAGGAUGGAGUCGGGUUUGUAUUAUGUAACGUCAAUAGCUAGUUCUUAAUCUCUUUUCUCCUUUCUUAAAGUCUUGACCUCAUAACCUCGAAAAGAGAUGGUAGCAGGCACA